rnacentral:rRNA from 1 species
UACGGGGGGGGCAAGCGUUGUUCGGAAUUACUGGGCGUAAAGGGCUCGUAGGCGGCCAACUAAGUCAGACGUGAAAUCCCUCGGCUUAACCGGGGAACUGCGUCUGAUACUGGAUGGCUAGAGUUUGGGAGAGGGAUGCGGAAUUCCAGGUGUAGCGGUGAAAUGCGUAGAUAUCUGGAGGAACACCGGUGGCGAAGGCGGCAGCCUGGACCAACACUGACGCUGAGGAGCGAAAGCCAGGGGAGCAAACGGG